rnacentral:lncRNA from 1 species
AAAAGCCCUGCUGAGCAGCAAUCCCAUUGCCUUCAGUGGCACCUAAUCCACUUGAGCUCUUCCUGGCUCUCUCACGGGUCACUGGCUUUGAGGACGCAGGCUGCUGGGGUGGCAGUGCCUGCUAACAGGCCAGAGACUGCGCAGGACCCAGGGAAUGAGAGUGGUGGCAGGAAAGGGAAGGGGCCUUGUUGACUCACUCGCUGGGCAGCAAGUGCUUAGUGACAAGCAGUAAACAAAGACAGCGGCAACAGUGCUGGUGGCAGGGAGCUCCGCGGACAGACUUGCAAGAGACCCCUGCUCCUUGUUGGAAAGUUGUCCCAUGAUGAAGGCCUAGACCUGGUCACGGAGACUUUUGGAUGCAGCCUUUAACGAAGGACGCAGGCAGAAAAAAAAAAAAAGACUGGGAGAUUUAAAACAGAAGAGGAGAAGGCGAUGUGACCACAGAGGCAGAGAUUGGAGUGAUGUGGCCAUAGCUGAGGAAUGCGGGCAGAUGGCAGAAGCUGGAGGAGGCCUGGGAAGGAUUCUCCGUCAGAGCCUGUGGAGGGACCAUAGUCCUGCGGACACCCUGACUUCAACCCAGUCAAACUGAUUUUGGAUUUCUUGUUCCUGGAACUGUGAGAUAAUAAAUUUAUCUUGUGUUAGUCUGUGAGGUUUGUGGUAAUUUGUUAUAGAAGGCACAGGAAACCAUACAGGGCCUCAAAUAGAAUCCUGAGGGACAACAUUUCAGGGACCAUGAGAGGGAGAAAGAAUGCCGAGGAGGUGAGGACAAACCAGGAGUUUGGAGAAACAAGGAGUGUUCCAAGGACAGACAGUG